rnacentral:rRNA from 1 species
GACGAACGCUGGCGGCGUGCCUAAUACAUGCAAGUGGGACGCAAGGACACACACUGUGCUUGCACACCGUGUUUUCUUGAGUCGCGAACGGGUGAGUAACGCGUAGGUAACCUGCCUAUUAGCGGGGGAUAACUAUUGGAAACGAUAGCUAAUACCGCAUAAUAUUAAUUAUUGCAUGAUAAUUGAUUGAAAGAUGCAAGCGCAUCACUAGUAGAUGGACCUGCGUUGUAUUAGCUAGUUGGUAAGGUAAGAGCUUACCAAGGCGACGAUACAUAGCCGACCCGGGGAGGAGGACGGGCAAACUGGGACUGGGACACGGCCCAGACUUCUUAGGGAGGGCGCAGGAGGGGAACUUUGGCAAAAGGGGAAAGGCUGGCCGAAGAACGCCGGGGGAGUGGAGGAGGGUCUCGGAUCGGAAAGCUCCGUUGUAAGUCAAGAACGUGUGUGAGAGUGGAAAGUUCACGUAGUGACGGUAGCUUAACAGAAAGGAACGGCUAACUACGUG